GAACUGCGAUAAGUAAUGUGAAUUGCAGAAUUCAGUGAAUCAUCGAGUCUUUGAACGCACAUUGCGCCCCCUGGCAUUCCGGUGGGGCAUGCCUGUCCGAGCGUCAUUGCUGCCCUCAAGCCCGGCUUGUGUGUUGGGUCGUCGUCCCCCCCGGGGGACGGGCCCGAAAGGCAGCGGCGGCACCGUGUCCGGUCCUCGAGCGUAUGGGGCUUUGUCACCCGCUCGAUUAGGGCCGGCCGGGCGCCAGCCGGCGUCUCCAACCUUAUUUUUCUCAGGUUGACCUCGGAUCAGGUAGGGAUACCCGCUGAACUUAAGC
rnacentral:misc_RNA from 1 species